rnacentral:rRNA from 1 species
AGAGUUUGAUCAUGGCUCAGGACGAACGCUGGCGGCGUGCUUAACACAUGCAAGUCGAACGAUGAAAGCGGGAACUUGCUCCUGCUGGAUUAGUGGCGAACGGGUGAGUAACACGUGAGCAAUCUGCCCCGAACUCUGGGAUAAGCGUUGGAAACGACGUCUAAUACCGGAUACGACGCGCGAAGGCAUCUUCUGCGCGUGGAAAGAACUUCGGGUUCGGGAUGAGUUCGCGGCCUAUCAGCUAGUUGGUGAGGUAACGGCCCACCAAGGCGACGACGGGUAGCCGGCCUGAGAGGGUGACCGGCCACACUGGGACUGAGACACGGCCCAGACUCCUACGGGAGGCAGCAGUGGGGAAUAUUGCACAAUGGGCGCAAGCCUGAUGCAGCAACGCCGCGUGAGGGACGACGGCCUUCGGGUUGUAAACCUCUUUUAGUAGGGAAGAAGCGAAAGUGACGGUACCUGCAGAAAAAGCACCGGCUAACUACGUGCCAGCAGCCGCGGUAAUACGUAGGGUGCAAGCGUUAUCCGGAAUUAUUGGGCGUAAAGAGCUCGUAGGCGGUUUGUCACGUCUGCUGUGAAAACUGGAGGCUCAACCUCCAGCCUGCAGUGGGUACGGGCAGACUAGAGUGCGGUAGGGGAGAUUGGAAUUCCUGGUGUAGCGGUGGAAUGCGCAGAUAUCAGGAGGAACACCGAUGGCGAAGGCAGAUCUCUGGGCCGUAACUGACGCUGAGGAGCGAAAGCGUGGGGAGCGAACAGGAUUAGAUACCCUGGUAGUCC